CAAGUUAGAUCUAUUUUUAGUAUUUCAUUUACAUUGAAAAGAAUUAUUGUUUAAUCAAUUUAAUUUGA
rnacentral:tRNA from 1 species